rnacentral:lncRNA from 1 species
CUCCUUAUCCUUUCAACCUUCUUUUGCAUGGAGCUACUGUGAGAGGAAAUCUACAGUUAAGAACAAAAUACGUAUAUAAGAAGUUGGGUACAUAUCACUUUGGAAAGCACAAGAUAUCAUUUGGCUGGACAUGAAUAUAACUUGUGCAUGGGACAGUAAAAGGAAUUACAACUAAACAACAAUUCAGCAUGAAUUGGUAAAAUGAACUGGCAAAGAAUGCACUGUCCAACUGAUUCAGCAUGAGAGUCCAACGGCGACAGCACCAAGCAAAAUUCAGUAAAGCGUAUAAAUAGAUUCAGGCCAAUUGGUAAAAUGAAAUCUAAUCCAUGAGAUUUAGUCAACUUUAGGGAGCAUCAUAGAUUCAGACCAAUAUUUUCAAGCAUGUAAAUACCGAUUCAACACUAGGGAGUAUUGACUUUUUCUGGCAGCGAGAAAGCAACUCAAUUUGGCAAGCAGUGCAACACCAAGUGAAUUUAGUCAAACAUGCAAGUGAAUUUAGAGCAGUAGCACUAGGGACUAGUAGCACUAGGGACUAGGGACUGACAGCAGUAACACUAGAUUCAGUCAAGUGAAAGUGAAUUUAGAGCAGUAGCAAAAUCAAGGAACAUGAGAGAGGUAGAGGGAGGCUCAACCAUGAAUUGCUGCUGCCCCAUGGUUGGGUAUGUAAUUGUCGCUACUCCUCCUUGUGGAUGCCAAGGUCGGAGACGCCGGAUCCGUGCGGGCAUCCACCUCCUAUCCGCACGAGCUGAAGCAAACCGUAGCAGGUAGUCCACCAGAACCUUCUUCCUCUUUGGUUGCACCAGCGGUGUCUGCAGAUCCGCCAUGGCCGGAGGCUGACUUCUAAAAUGAAAAAGAGCACAAUGAGAUGUUAGCUUUGCCAUGAUGAUAUAGUAGUAAUAGGGAAGCAUACCAG